AGUGAACGCUGGCGGUAGGCCUAACACAUGCAAGUCGAACGGCAGCACAGUAAGAGCUUGCUCUUACGGGUGGCGAGUGGCGGACGGGUGAGGAAUACAUCGGAAUCUACUUUUUCGUGGGGGAUAACGUAGGGAAACUUACGCUAAUACCGAAUAUGACCUACGGGUGAAAGCAGGGGAUAUUCGGACCUUGCGCGUUUGAUUGAGCCGAUGUCGGAUUAGCUAGUUGGUGGGGUAAAGGCCCACCAAGGCAACGAUCCGUAGCUGGUCUGAGAGGAUGAUCAGCCACACUGGAACUGAGACACGGUCCAGACUCCUACGGGAGGCAGCAGUGGGGAAUAUUGGGCAAUGGGCGCAAGCCUGAUCCAGCCAUACCGCGUGAGUGAAGAAGGCCUUCGGGUUGUAAAGCCCUUUUGUUGGGAAAGAAAAGCAGCAGGUUAAUACCCCGCUGUUCUGACGGUACCCAAAGAAUAAGCACCGGCUAACUUCGUG
rnacentral:rRNA from 1 species